rnacentral:piRNA from 1 species
UGCGAGAUAGAAAGAUUACCCCUCUGAGGUC